rnacentral:rRNA from 1 species
AGAGUUUGAUCAUGGCUCAGGAUUAACGCUAGCGGCAGGCCUAAUACAUGCAAGUUGUACGGGAUUAUUGGUAGCAAUACUGAUAUGAGAGUAGCGCACGGGUGCGUAACACGUAUGCAACCUACCUUUAACUGGGGAAUAGCUCACCGAAAGGUGAAUUAAUACCGCAUAAAAUCAUAGAAGGACAUCCUUUAAUGAUUAAAUCUCCGGAGGUUAAAGAUGGGCAUGCGUCCGAUUAGCUAGUUGGCGGGGUAAUAGCCCACCAAGGCAACGAUCGGUAGGGGGUCUGAGAGGAUGAUCCCCCACACUGGUACUGAGACACGGACCAGACUCCUACGGGAGGCAGCAGUAAGGAAUAUUGGACAAUGGUGGCAACACUGAUCCAGCCAUGCCGCGUGAAGGACGAAGGCCCUAUGGGUCGUAAACUUCUUUUAUACGGGACAAAACCCCUCUACGUGUAGAGGGUUGAUGGUACUUAAGAAUAAGU